AACGUUUGCUGCGAUUUGUUAUAAAUAAAGACAGUUCUAAGUGUUUGCACCAAGAGGAGCACGUCCGUGUCGGAGGAUCCGGGGCUGAGAGGCAUCUUCCACUUCAGCGUCCAGGAAGAAGUGGUACGCCAUGGGUCACCUUGGGAGCUACAUUUUUGCUUUGCUGUUGAUCAGUGCAAGCUGGCUGGCGUUAGAUGCCCAGCCAUAUGUGUAUCAUUUCAACUGCAAUAAUCCGCAAGGUCUCUUCUACAUUAGCAACCCAGCUUGGACAGGGACAGUGUCCGGCGAUGCUCCCACGCGCUGUACUGGUCCACAUAUUCUUUUACCAGAUUCAGAAGCAAGUUCAACCUGCGUCCAGAAUUACAUUGCCCAUAUUAACUCUCAACUCGGGACCAUGAGUACCGUAUAUACAGAUUUGAAUGGAGCAGUGUCAUGCUACCCAAAGGUGUCUCCAUGCCCUUCCACAGGAACGAUUGUCAUGUGCCGCAUUACCUUACCUGCCGCUAGCAAUGCUUCCACCAACCCACGAUGUCCACAAAAUCUACAGAUCUCAAAUGGCAAAGUACUGUACCCGUCAGGAAACAUAUUUCCAUCACAAUCAUUCGACACAUGCAACCAAGGAUACUCCAUCAGUGGCUUUAGACUUGCUGAGUGCAGCCCAGGGGGCACCUGGGGGAACCGUGUGGCCACUUG